UGGGGAAUAUUGGACAAUGGGGGCAACCCUGAUCCAGCAAUGCCGCGUGUGUGAAGAAGGCCUUAGGGUUGUAAAGCACUUUGAGCAGGGAAGAAGGGUUCAUGGCGAAUAGUCAUGAAUUUUGACGGUACCUGCAGAACAAGCACCGGCUAACUCUGUGCCAGCAGCCGCGGUAAUACAGAGGGUGCGAGCGUUAAUCGGAAUUACUGGGCGUAAAGGGCGCGUAGGCGGUUACAUAAGUCAGAUGUGAAAUAUCCGGGCUUAACCUGGAGCGGUCAUUUGAUACUGUGUAGCUAGAGUCGUGUAGAGGGUGGUGGAAUUUCCGGUGUAGCGGUGAAAUGCGUAGAUAUCGGAAGGAACAUCGGUGGCGAAGGCGGCCACCUGGACACAGACUGACGCU
rnacentral:rRNA from 1 species